rnacentral:lncRNA from 1 species
UUCCCCCAAGCCAUAUAGUCUGAUGAGUCUGAUGCAGAUUCAGGGGUGUGUAGUGUUGUGGUUUUCCACUACAUUGGUUACUGAUGAAAUAAAGGACAUUCACCAGCAUACAAAUCUAUUGUGAGUUUUGCUUGUUUGUUGUUUGUAUUCUUUUCUUUGCCCCAUAUUUUUUCAUUUUCCUUUUUGCAAACUGUAAGCAUAGAUCCAGGUUGACCCAGGUAUCUGCACACCAUAUACUUUCUUCUCAGAGAGUGAUAGUUUCAAGUUUUGGGUAUAGGUCUUUCAUUCAUGUUGAAUAGAUGAUUGUGAAUUUCACACAAUAAGGACCCUAUGUUGUUAUUUUGCCUAGGGAUAUCCAGUUCUCAGAACGCUGUAUUGGACAGACUCUCCCUUCUUGUGGUGACGUUUGUGGUUCUUUCUAAGCAUGUGCUUAGGCUAUACCAAUUUGAAUUUACUCCUGGGCACCCUCAUUGUGUCCCCUGGUCUGUGUUUCUCUGCUAAGGCCUAUCACAAAUCAUCUGGGUAACUAAAGCUUUGGGAAGUAGGUUAAAGUGGAAGAGUGUGAUGGCUCCACCGACUUUGUGUGUGUAGGAAUCUGGGUAACUAAAGCUUUGGGAAGUAGGUUAAAGUGGAAGAGUGUGAUGGCUCCACCGACUGUGUGUGUGUAGGAACUGCUUUGGGAGUGCGGGGCACUUCAUUGCCCCACAGGACUUUCAAAAAUACGUUGUGAUCCUAUUUGAAAACAAAAAUUUCACAUGGUCUGUGCUUCUACUUUAAGGGUGCAAGGGACCAUUUGACAUAUGGAUCAGUGCUGGUGUGAUCAAAUUACAGGACCUCGUGUCUCUGUUUCAGGCUAUAGUGAGGAUUUCUUGGUGGAGAGAGUAUCCCGAUCACCCCUUCCCGCUAUAUUGAAUAUCAUGCUAGGAGACUGUUAAGCCUAGUCACCCUGCUAAGCUGUAGAACACCAGAAUUCUUGCCAUUCAUCUGAGCGUCACUUUGUAGCUGUUUCCAAGCCUCCCCUCAGCCUCUGGUACCCACUAUUGACGUUGCUCCUUUGUGAGAUGCGUUUCAUUAGAUUCCAUGCGCGUGAGAUCGUGCUGUGUUUGUUUGUCUUCCUCUGCCUGGCUCAUUUCCUUUAACUUAAUGUCCUUCAGCUUUCUCCACCUUGCUGGAAGUGACCUGCUGUCCAGAAGUUUGAUGGCUGAGGAGUAUACCAUCGUGCAUGCAUCUUUCAUUUCCUGCAUUUCUUCCUUCCUGGAUGGACAGGUAGGUUACCUCCAUACCCUGGUUAUUGUCCGGAGUACUUCAUCAAACAUGGGAAGGCAAAUAUCUCCUUAAGUUACAAGGUUCCUUGGCUUUUGCUGGUAUACCCAAUGUUGGGAUGGCUACGGGAACUGGUAGUUGUAUUGUUGUUUCAGAAACCUCCUGCUGUCUCUCCCAGUGGGUAUACAAAUUUGCAUUCCUACCAAUAGUGUGUGAGAGUUUCUCUGUCUGCAAAUCUACACUGCCUUAUCUUCAAAAGGUUUUAUUGCUGUUCCUGGUCAUACUCGUUCUCUGGGGAGUUUGGUGUUGGACAAUAAUUUCCCAACAUGGGGACAACCCAGAGCAUUUUCCACUUCCAUAUUCUGCUUCAGUUGCUCAUGGUUUUGAUCGAAGCUAGACAGUGACUGAACCAGGAGGCUCAGACCCCAGGCCAGCAUGGAGUCCUGUGGUUG